AGGUAAUGUCUGGGAAACUGCCUGAUGGAGGGGAGUAACGUACUGGAAACGGUAGAUAAUACCGCAUAACGUCGCAAGACCAAAGUGGGGAACCUUCGGGGCCUCAUGCCAUCAGAUGUGCCCAGAUGGGAUUAGCUAGUAGGUGGGGUAACGGCUCACCUAGGCGACGAUCCCUAGCUGGUCUGAGAGGAUGACCAGCCACACUGGAACUGAGACACGGUCCAG
rnacentral:rRNA from 1 species